rnacentral:tRNA from 2 species
GGGUUAGAGUGGUCAGAAGUGUCCAAAUAUAGCCAGAUCUGAUCACCCAUAUCUUGGGUCUGUAAAUCUGCUCACGUAAGUGUACGAAGGUUCGAAUCCUUCCCUGCCCACCA